AUACGUAGGGUGCGAGCGUUAAUCGGAAUUACUGGGCGUAAAGCGUGCGCAGGCGGUUUUGUAAGUCAGAUGUGAAAUCCCCGGGCUUAACCUGGGAACUGCGUUUGAAACUGCAAGGCUAGAGUGUGGCAGAGGGGGGUGGAAUUCCGCGUGUAGCAGUGAAAUGCGUAGAGAUGUGGAGGAACACCGAUGGCGAAGGCAGCCCCCUGGGUUAACACUGACGCUCAGGCACGAAAGCAUGGGGAGCAAACAGGAUUAGAAACCCCAGUAGUCC
rnacentral:rRNA from 1 species